CCUACGGGUGGCUGCAGUGAGGAAUAUUGGUCAAUGGCCGGAAGGCUGAACCAGCCAAGCCGCGUGAGGGACGAAGGUACCGAGCAUCGUAAACUUCUUUUGUCAGGGGACAAAAUCAGGCUCGAGAGCCUGACCGAGGGUACUUGAAGAAAAAGCAUCGGCUAACUCCGUGCCAGCAGCCGCGGUAAUACGGAGGAUGCGAGCGUUAUCCGGAUUUAUUGGGUUUAAAGGGUGCGUAGGCGGGCUGUUAAGUCAGCGGUAAAAGCCCGGGGCUCAACCCCGGCGCGCCGUUGAAACUGGGAGUGUCGAGUUGGAGAGAAGUAUGCGGAAUGAGCGGUGUAGCGGUGAAAUGCAUAG
rnacentral:rRNA from 1 species